CCAAAUUGUAUACAAUACCAGUAGAGAGCACUCAGGAGUCUUUCAAGGCUCCUUGAAAGACUCCUGAGUGCUCUCUACUGGUAUUAUAUAUAUAUAUA
rnacentral:miRNA from 1 species